rnacentral:rRNA from 1 species
GGCCACAGUCAUAUCACCCUCCAAUCCGAGACUGGUUACUCAAUGAAGCUAAGCAGGGCUAAGCCAGAUCAGUACCUAGAUGGGAGACCACAUAGGAAAACUAGGUUGCUGUUAGAA